UACGGAGGGUGCAAGCGUUAUCCGGAUUCACUGGGCUUAAAGGGUGCGUAGGUGGGCAGGAAAGUCAGUGGUGAAAUCUCCGGGCUUAACCCGGAAACUGCCGUUGAUACUAUUUGUCUUGAAUAUUGUGGAGGUAAGCGGAAUAUGUCAUGUAGCGGUGAAAUGCUUAGAUAUGACAUAGAACACCAAUUGCGAAGGCAGCUUACUACACAAUGAUUGACGCUGAGGCACGAAAGCGUGGGGAUCAAACAGG
rnacentral:rRNA from 1 species